GCGAGCAAAAAUUAAAAGUACUGCAGCAGGUGAAGUAAACGAGGAGGGAGGACUAGGUAAAGAAGAAAGAGAGCUAGAGGGGGAAAAAAAAAAAAGAAAGAGAGAAAUAUCUCUGCCUUUGCCUUGCUUGCCCUCUCUUAAAAAGUCUAGAGAGAGACAAAACACAGAGAGAAAUCAACAACAACGUUAUAGUUGCGUCUCUCCGUGCGUGUCAAUCAAAUCUUCCUUCUUAUAUUCUCUCUCUCUCUCUCUCUCUCUCUCUCUCUCUCUCUCUUUCUUUGUUGGUUUCAUGAUUUCAGGGCCUCUCUGUUGAAUCUAAUCUCUCUCUUUCUCAGCCAUCUCCAGAAGCAAUAGAAGAUUCCAUUCCAAUCCUUUUAAAACUACUCAUAUCUUCUUCUUUUUCUUGAGGAAAAGUAAAUUAAAAUCAAAAUCCCAUAAUUUUUUUCGGAGAAAGAGAUUCCAAUUCUGCUGCUUUUCCCCUUUGUCUUGUCCCUAGACAUGUCUUGUUGUUUCAAGGAAUAAGUCUGGUUUUGGUUGAAGUGAAGUAAGUUUGGAAUGGAAGGCGACAUAUUUUCAGGAUUUGGUAAUGGAACUGAAGUAGAUGGCAAGGUUUUGCAGACAUUUCAAAAGAGUUUUGUGCAAGUUCAAGGCAUCCUAGAUCAAAAUAGGCUGCUAAUCAACGAGAUUAACCAAAACCAUGAGUCAAAGAUCCCUGAUAACUUGAGCCGGAACGUGGGAUUAAUUAGAGAGUUGAAUAACAAUAUUAGAAGAGUAGUUGAUCUCUAUGCUGAUCUCUCGAGCUCCUUCACCAGGUCAAUGGAGGCUUCAUCAGAAGGCGAUUCAGCUGGGACAUUCAAAUCUGAUGGAAAAGCUAGUCAGAAGAGAAUUAGAUCUGGGUAAAUUUGAUCAAGCUGAGCUUUUGGUAUAAAUUCUGUUCUCUUUCCCUGUGGAAUAAGAAGAGUAUUUUGAUCCUGAAGUGAAAAAAAAAUCUGUAACUCUUUCAAUGAAAGUGUGAAAUGCAUCUGAGAUUGUGAAGCUUCAGCAUAAUCCUCAGUCGUCA